rnacentral:rRNA from 1 species
CCUACGGGAGGCUGCAGUAGGGAAUCUUUCACAAUGGGCGAAAGCCUGAUGGAGCAACGCCGCGUGCAGGAUGAAGGCCUUCGGGUUGUAAACUGCUUUUAUAAGCGAGAAAUAUGAUGGUAACUUAUGAAUAAGGAUCGGCUAACUACGUGCCAGCAGCCGCGGUCAUACGUAGGAUCCGAGCAUUAUCCGGAGUGACUGGGUGUAAAGAGUUGCGUAGGUGGCAUAAUAAGUAGCUAGUGAAAUCUGGUGGCGCAACCAUUCAGACUAUUAGCUAAACUGUUAAGCUCGAGACCGUUAGGGGUAAGUGGAAUGUCUAGUGUAGGAGUGAAAUCCGUAGAUAUCAGAAGGAACACCAAUAGCGUAGGCAGGUUGCUGGGACGGUUCUGACACUAAGGCACGAAAGCGUAGGGAGCAAACGGGAUUAGAUACCCGUGUAGUC